UUGUUACUUACGUUAGAUUAUUGUAUACAUAUAUUCUUACAAUAUAUAAUGUGCUGGGUUCCUGGAAUAAUCGUUUUCCAGUAAACAUCACAUGUGAACAAAUUAACACACAAAUAAAAAUAAUAAUUUAGCGAGAGUACAUUUAAUAGUACAUUUAAUGAGUUGUCGCUUAUCCAAACGUUUCGGGAAAAAAACAGAAAUUACACAUACAUUUAUAUAGAGUGAAACACGAAGAUCUGUCAACUGAAAUAACUUUUUACCGAUAUAGCUUGUUAUAAACAUUUACCUUUGUAAAACUUGAACAUUUCUCAAAUCCAGACAAUUUGUAACCUUACAGCUUCAGUCCAUGCAUACUGCAUAGACAUUGUGACACUGAAAUAUUCACUACAUUUAAAAGUGGCCCUAUGAUAUAACUACUAAACAAUAGUAUGUCACUGAGAUUAAACCCUGU